rnacentral:rRNA from 1 species
GACGAACCGGACAAACGUUAUUCGGAAUCAUUGGGCUUAAUGUGUGCGUAGGCGGACUUGUUGGUGAGGUGUGAAAUCCCACGGCUCAACCGUGGAACUGCGUUUCAAACCACAGGGCUUGAGUGAGGCAGAGGGAAGUGGAACUGAUGGUGGAGCAGUGAAAUGCGUAGAUAUGAGAAGGAACACCGGUGGCGAAGGCGGCUUAAUGGGAUUUGACUGACGCUGAGGCACGAAAGCUAGGGGAGCAAACGGG